AUUGAACGCUGGCGGCAGGACUAACACAUGCAAGUCGAGCGGAGCGGCGGACGGGGGAGUAAUGACUAGGAAUCUGCCUGGUAGUGGGGGAUAACGUCCGGAAACGGGAGCUAAUACCGCAUCCUAUCAGAUGAGCCUAGGGCGGAUUAGCUAGGUGGUGGGGUAAGGUCAUACCCAGGCGACGAGCCGUAACUGGGCUGAGAGGAUGAUCAGUCACACUGGAACUGAGACACGGUCCAGACUCCUACGGGAGGCAGCAUUGGGGAAUAUUGGACAAUGUGCGAAAGCCUGAUCCAGCCAUGCCGCGUGUGUGAAGAAGGUCUUCGGAUUGUAAAGCACUUUAAGUUGGGAGGCGUUACCAACAGAAUAAGCACCGGCUAACUUCGUGCCAGCCGCCGCGGUAAUAC
rnacentral:rRNA from 1 species